rnacentral:lncRNA from 1 species
GCCAUAUCAGAGACUGAAAGCUGAAAAAAGUCGUCGGUACAAAAAAGGUACAUGUACAAAUAUAUCAAAAUAUUUAUUUUAAACCAUGUAAUAACAUCAAACAAACAAAUUAGGCAACAAACGAAGAUGCAUUUACUUUUCCUUCCAUGUCAAAAUCGACAUCAUCAUCGGAUUCUACAUCCUCAUUUUUUCUGUCUUGAGGUAACUGAUAGUCAGGGUCAUCAUUAUUUUCAUCCUCCUCCCU